GGCGAGAUGGCCGAGUUGGUCUAUGGCGCUGUGUUAAGGUUAUUACAGUUCCGCAGUGGGAAACCGCGUGGGUUCGAAUCCCACUCUCGUCA